GACGAACGCGGGCGGCGUGCCUAAUACAUGCAAGUCGAACGCACGAAGUUGAAGAGCUUGCUCUUUAACCAAGUGAGUGGCGGACGGGUGAGUAACACGUGGGUAACCUGCCCAUUAGAGGGGGAUAACAUUCGGAAACGGAUGCUAAUACCGCAUAGUUUCAGGAAUCGCAUGAUUCUUGAAGGAAAGGUGGCUUCGGCUACCACUAAUGGAUGGACCCGCGGCGUAUUAGCUAGUUGGUGAGGUAAUGGCUCACCAAGGCAAUGAUACGUAGCCGACCUGAGAGGGUGAUCGGCCACACUGGGACUGAGACACGGCCCAGACUCCUACGGGAGGCAGCAGUAGGGAAUCUUCCGCAAUGGACGAAAGUCUGACGGAGCAACGCCGCGUGAGUGAAGAAGGUUUUCGGAUCGUAAAACUCUGUUGUUAAAGAAGAACAAGGAUGAGAGUAACUGCUCAUCCCCUGACGGUAUUUAACCAGAAAGCCACGGCUAACUACGUGCCAGCAGCCGCGGUAAUACGUAGGUGGCGAGCGUUGUCCGGAUUUAUUGGGCGUAAAGCGAGCGCAGGCGGUUCUUUAAGUCUGAUGUGAAAGCCCCCGGCUCAACCGGGGAGGGUCAUUGGAAACUGGAGAACUUGAGUGCAGAAGAGGAGAGUGGAAUUCCACGUGUAGCGGUGAAAUGCGUAGAUAUGUGGAGGAACACCAGUGGCGAAGGCGACUCUCUGGUCUGUAACUGACGCUGAGGCUCGAAAGCGUGGGGAGCAAACAGG
rnacentral:rRNA from 1 species